rnacentral:rRNA from 1 species
UACGUAGGGUGCGAGCGUUGUCCGGAAUUAUUGGGCGUAAAGAGCUCGUAGGCGGUGUGUCACGUCGGCCGUGAAAACCUGCAGCUUAACUGUGGGCGUGCGGUCGAUACGGGCAUCACUGGAGUUCGGCAGGGGAGACUGGAAUUCCAGGUGUAGCGGUGAAAUGCGUAGAUAUCUGGAGGAACACCGGUGGCGAAGGCGGCAUCCUGGACCGACACUGACGCUGAGGAGCGAAAGCCAGGGGAGCAAACGGG